CCUUUGUGUUCCCUUGUUGCUCUCCUGGAAAUCAGAGAGGUGAUGGGUUACUCCUCGGAGGCAGUGUGGUACAGAAGGAAGAACACAGGGCAUUCAGAAACACGAGUAGGACCUCUGAGUAUUAGCCAGUGGGCUGGGGACCAAGCACGAGCUCUUUGGUUGACAAUGAGAGAUCAUAAGUCUUUUAGGAGUUGAAUUGUGCCCUUCCCAAUGAUGGUACACUAAUAUUCUACCUCCACUACUUUAGAGUACAACCUUACUUGGGAGUGAGAGCCACAGUCUUCAAGGACAAGAAAGUGACAUUCAGCUGGAGACCCUCCCACAUCACUCCCCGCUGUCCUUAGCCACAAGAAGACUGAACAAAAAGUCUUCAAGAAACAGCCUGGUAUCCUGAGCCCCAGGCCGGCCCUGCAGGGUUCCUUUCUCUAGUGAUCUUUCUAGUGUCUCCAUCUCUGAGAAAAUGAAUUCCUGGAAAGUUCACUCACUUUAGCUGGUCUCACAUCAAAGGGAAAAGAGGUGACACUGAAUGUGCCAGGAAAAGUUCCCAACAAAACUGGGUCUCCUUCCUGCUCUACCAGUAUCCCUGACAUCAAGCCAACUUCCCCUUCAGCCAGAUGCUGGAAACCCAGAAAACCCCAAACCUCCCCCCACCCCCACCAAUUCAUUCAGGGAAUGACCACAACCCUGAUAGCAUCCACAGAUGGAGAAACCCGCCACAAAGCAGUUUCUCUCAUUCGGAGCGCAUUCCCCUGGAAGGGAUAGGAUUUGUACGUCAGUGAGGGAAAAGCCCAAAUUGUCACAGCCUAAAUAAAUGCCAUCCAGCAAAGGGAGAUUGGCCAA